GCAGCUACAAUGCAAGUCGAGCGGAUACACUUAAGAGCUUGCUCUUAUGAAGACUAGCGGCGGACGGGUGAGUAACACGUGGGUAACCUGCCCAUAGAGACUGGGAUAACUCCGGGAAACCGGGGCUAAUACCGGAUAACAUUUUGAACCGCAUGGUUCGAAAUUGAAAGGCGGCUUCGGCUGUCACUUAUGGAUGGACCCGCGUCGCAUUAGCUAGUUGGUGAGGUAACGGCUCACCAAGGCAACGAUGCGUAGCCGACCUGAGAGGGUGAUCGGCCACACUGGGACUGAGACACGGCCCAGACUCCUACGGGAGGCAGCAUUAAGGAAUCUUCCGCAAUGGACAAAAUUCUUACGGAA
rnacentral:rRNA from 1 species